GACGAACCGUGCGAACGUUGUUCGGAAUCACUGGGCUUAAAGGGCGCGUAGGCGGGUUCCCGAGUCGGGGGUGAAAUCUUUCGGCCCAACCGGAAAAGGGCCUCCGAUACUGGGAACCUCGAGGGGGGUAGGGGUCGGCGGAACUUCCGGUGGAGCGGUGAAAUGCGUAGAUAUCGGAAGGAACGCCGGUGGCGAAAGCGGAC
rnacentral:rRNA from 1 species